UCAGGCCUAACACAUGCAAGUCGAGCGGACCCUUCGGGGUCAGCGGCGGACGGGUGAGUAACACGUGGGCAAUCUGCCUGUCAGACUGGAAUAACGCCUGGAAACGGGUGCUAAUGCCAGAUAGGCAGCGAGGAGGCAUCUUCUUGCUGGGAAAGGCGCAACAGUGCCACUGACAGAGGAGCCCGCGGCGCAUUAGCUCGUUGGUGGGGUAAAGGCCUACCAAGGCGACGAUGCGUAGCCGACCUGAGAGGGUGAGCGGCCACACUGGGACUGAGACACGGCCCAGACUCCUACGGGAGGCAGCAGUAGGGAAUCUUCCGCAAUGGGCGCAAGCCUGACGGAGCAACGCCGCGUGAGUGAGGAAGGCCUUCGGGUUGUAAAACUCAGUCACCUGGGAAGAGCGGUAUGAGGAGUGGAACGCCUCAAACGAGACGGUACCAGGGGAGGAAGCCCCGGCUAACUACGUGCCAGCAGCCGCGGUAAUACGUAGGGGGCAAGCGUUGUCCGGAAUCACUGGGCGUAAAGCGUGCGUAGGCGGUUUUUCAAGUCUGGGGUGAAAACUCAAGGCUCAACCUUGAGAAUGCCUUGGAAACUGGGGAACUUGAGUACUGGAGAGGCAAGGGGAAUUCCACGUGUAGCGGUGAAAUGCGUAGAGAUGUGGAGGAAUACCAGUGGCGAAGGCGCCUUGCUGGACAGUGACUGACGCUGAGGCACGAAAGCGUGGGGAGCAAACAGGAUUAGAUACCCUGGUAGUCCACGCCGUAAACGAUGAGUGCUAGGUGUUGGGGGUUCAUCCCCUCAGUGCCGAAGGAAACCCAAUAAGCACUCCGCCUGGGGAGUACGGUCGCAAGACUGAAACUCAAAGGAAUUGACGGGGGCCCGCACAAGCAGUGGAGCAUGUGGUUUAAUUCGAAGCAACGCGAAGAACCUUACCAGGGCUUGACAUCCCUCUGACCGGUACAGAGAUGUACCUUCCCUUCGGGGCAGGGGAGACAGGUGGUGCAUGGUUGUCGUCAGCUCGUGUCGUGAGAUGUUGGGUUAAGUCCCGCAACGAGCGCAACCCUUGACCUGUGUUACCAGCACGUGAUGGUGGGGACUCACAGGUGACUGCCGGCGUAAGUCGGAGGAAGGUGGGGAUGACGUCAAAUCAUCAUGCCCUUUAUGUCCUGGGCUACACACGUGCUACAAUGGGC
rnacentral:rRNA from 1 species